AGCAGUGACCCUGCGUAAGAGACUGAUAGACCACCAGAUCAAAACUGGUCACAUCAUCGACUGGGAGGGUGAUCCAAGUCAUCGACCAGAGAACGAUGAAGACCACGAUUCAGACGCCCAAAAAAUCUAUCAUUGAGAUGAACCCUCAUGUGAAGCGCACCAUUGACUGUCAAAGCGGUGAAUAACUGUCUCCUCCAGCCAUGCAAAAAUCACCAGGGAUGGUGAUUAACACUAAAACAGUAGAAAAUCAGUCCAAAGCGUUUAAAUCUCCCCAGCUGUAAAUGUCAUUAGCUGUUAAAGUCUUGUGUUGCUUGUAAUAAAUUGUUGAUAACA